rnacentral:misc_RNA from 1 species
UUUCCGUAGGUGAACCUGCGGAAGGAUCAUUCAUCGAGCGAGUGGGCCCGUCCCCUCCCUCCAUCCCGUGCGUACCCUCCAGUCUCUGCCUCGGCCGGCCCCCCCGCCCCGGCGGGCCGCCCGCCGAGGCCCAACCAAAACCUCGUUGUCAAACGUUGACGUCUGAGUGAAAAUACAAACGAAAUAAAACUUUCAACAAUGGAUCUCUUGGCUCCGGCAUCGAUGAAGAACGCAGC